AUUUGUGAACAGAUGCCACUGAGAGAAACACGUGUUUCCGAGGUCUCUUGAACGUGUCUUUGCUGUCGUGAAGGAACUCGCAGUUUGGCUCUGAUCCAAAAACAACCCAACCCAAUAUAACAACGGCGAUGCUUUUCUUCUGUGUCUGGAAGUUACAACUCAACGAGCCUCAUCCCAAACCUCAGUGAGAUGGUGUCUUCUGAACACUGUCAGUUUGCUGUUGAAGAUGAUUUUGAGGAGGAAAUCUAUGAAAACUACUGUCCUGUUUAUUACAAUGAUAGAGAUGAACAUCUUCAGUGGACAAACACUCAGUUGUGAUAAAAAUGAGUACUCGAUUGAAAACAGGUGCUGCCCCAUGUGUAAUUCUGGUAAGAUCCAGCUGAGGGUUAAAGGGACCUUUCACUGUAGUUACAGUCAUUUAUAUCAUGUUGAUGAUGUUGUCAUGUUUUUUAAACAGGACAGAGGGUUAAAACAGUUUGUGCAGAUUGAAGACCUACGUCCUGUUCUCCCUGUUUAAAAGGAACGUUCAUGAAUCAUUCCACUGAACUCAAACAGUGUUUCCCGUGUGCAGACUGUGAUCAAGGUAGAUUUACAUUUUUGUCUAACAGUCUUCAGUGCAACAAACAGAUAAUCUUCAUGAAUGUUUACAUCUGUCAUCAUCAUAACCUUAUAUAACAAAAUAUUCCACACCUAAAUACAACAUCAUGAAACAAUAACAGCUACUAUGAUGAUGAAAGGUUUGUCGUAGCAGUUAAGACACAGCCUUUAGUUACUGAACUCCAACUCAAACUUUAUCUGUCAAAUCUUGUGCUUUGGUAAAAGUAUUUGAGGAGCUGAUAAUUCAGGAAAAUAACAGGGAAACAAGGGAGGAAGAUUAGGCUCUGAAAAGGAUGAAGAGUGGAGAGGCUGUUGGUCCUGAUGACGUACCUGUGGACGUGUCUAGGGGAGACAGCAGUGGAGUUUUUAACUAGCUUGUUCAACAGGAUUCUAGAGCAUGAGAAGAUGCCUGAGGAAUGGAGGAGAAGCGUUUCGGUGUCCAUCUUUAAGAACAAGGGUGACACGCAGAACUGCAGCAACCACAGAGGAAUAAAGUUGAUGAGCCACACA
rnacentral:lncRNA from 1 species